CCUACGGGUGGCUGCAGUGAGGAAUAUUGGUCAAUGGCCGCAAGGCUGAACCAGCCAAGCCGCGUGAAGGACGAAGGUGCCAAGCAUUGUAAACUUCUUUUGUCAAGGGACAAAAUCAGGCUCGAGAGCCUGACAGAGGGUACCUGAAGAAAAAGCAUCGGCUAACUCCGUGCCAGCAGCGGAGGUAAUACGGAGGAUGCGUGCGUGAUCCGGAUGUAUGGGGGUUAAAGGGUGCGUAGGCGGACUGUUAAGUCAGCGGUAAAAGCCCGGGGCUAAACCCCGGCGAGCCGUUGAAACUGGCUGUCUUGAGAUCUCGAGAGGUAUGCGGAAUGCGCUGUGUAGCGGUGAAAUGCUUAGAUAUUGGGCAGAACUCCGAUUGCGAAGGCAGCAUACCGGCGGCGAUCUGACGCUGAGGCACGAAAGCGUGGGUAGCGAACAGGAUUAGAUACCCGAGUAGUC
rnacentral:rRNA from 1 species